UACGAAGGGGGCUAGCGUUGCUCGGAAUCACUGGGCGUAAAGCGCACGUAGGCGGCUUUUUAAGUCAGGGGUGAAAUCCUGGAGCUCAACUCCAGAACUGCCUUUGAUACUGAGAAGCUUGAGUCCGGGAGAGGAUGGUGGAACUCCCAGUGUAGAGGUGAAAUUCGUAGAUAUUGGGAAGAACACCCGUGGCGAAGGCGGCCAUCUGGACCGGUACUGACGCUAAGGCGCGACAGCGUGGGGAGCAAACAGG
rnacentral:rRNA from 1 species